rnacentral:rRNA from 1 species
UACGUAGGGGGCAAGCGUUGUCCGGAAUUAUUGGGCGUAAAGAGCUCGUAGGCGGUUUGUCGCGUCUGCUGUGAAAACUCAGGGCUUAACCCUGAGCCUGCAGUGGGUACGGGCAGACUAGAGUGUGGGAGGGGAGAUCGGAAUUCCUGGUGUAGCGGUGGAAUGCGCAGAUAUCAGGAGGAACACCGGUGGCGAAGGCGGAUCUCUGGGCCAUAACUGACGCUGAGGAGCGAAAGCAUGGGGAGCGAACGGG